rnacentral:rRNA from 1 species
AGGCUUUGAUCCUGGCUCAGGAUGAACGCUGGCGGCGUGCUUAACACAUGCAAGUCGAGCGAGAUCUUUAUGAAUGAAACUUCGGUCGAGUUCAUGGAGUGACAGCGGCGAAAGGGAGAGUAACAGGUAGAUUACGUGCCCAAGGGUUCGGGAUAGCCACGCGAAAGUGUGAGUAAUACCGAAUAAUGUCUCCGGACCAAAGAUUUAUUGCCCUUGGAGCGGUCUGCCUCCUAUUAGGUAGUUGGUGGGGUAAAGGCCUACCAAGCCGAAGAUGGGUAGCGGGUGUGAGAGCAUGACCCGCCUCACUGGGACUGAGAUACUGCCCAGACACCUACGGGUGGCUGCAGUCGAGAAUCUUCCGCAAUGGGCGAAAGCCUGACGGAGCGACGCCGCGUGAUGGACGAAGGCCCUCGGGUUGUAAACAUCUGUCGUAGGGGAGGAAAUUUUGACCGAUCCUAGUGAGGAAGCACAGGGAUAAUUCGUGCUUAC